AUUGAACGCUAGCGGGAUGCUUUACACAUGCAAGUCGAACGAGUGGGGGGCGGGAGAGUAAUAUAUCGGAACGUGCGCAGGAGAGGGGGAUAGCUACUCGAAAGUGUGGCUAAUAACGCAUAAUAUGAGAGCGGCCGGUAUCGGAUUGGCUAGUGGGUGGGGUAAAGGCUUACCAAGGCAACGACCCGUAGCUGGUUUGAGAGGAAGACCAGCCACACUGGGACUGAGACACGGCCCAGACUCCUACGGGAGGCAGCAGUGGGGAAUUUUGGACAAUGGGUGAAACCCUGAUCCAGCCAUGCCGCGUGUAUGAGAAGGCCUUCGGGUUGUAAAGUACUUUUGGCAGAGAAGCGUUAUCUGCAGAAUAAGCACCGGCUAACUACGUGCCAGCAGCCGCGGUAAUUC
rnacentral:rRNA from 1 species